UGGGGAAUUUUGGACAAUGGGCGCAAGCCUGAUCCAGCCAUGCCGCGUGAGUGAAGAAGGCCUUCGGGUUGUAAAGCUCUUUCGCAAGGAAAGAAAACUUACCUACUAAUACUGGCUGAGGAUGACGGUACCUUGAUAAGAAGCACCGGCUAACUACGUGCCAGCAGCCGCGGUAAUACGUAGGGUGCGAGCGUUAAUCGGAAUUACUGGGCGUAAAGCGUGCGCAGGCGGUUCGAUAAGUCUGAUGUGAAAUCCCCGGGCUCAACCUGGGAACUGCGUUGGAAACUGUCGAGCUAGAGUGUAGAAGAGGGGGGUAGAAUUCCACGUGUAGCAGUGAAAUGCGUAGAGAUGUGGAGGAAUACCGAUGGCGAAGGCAGCCCCCUGGGCUAACACUGACGCUCAUGCACGAAAGCGUGGGGAGCAAACAGGAUUAGAUACCCUGGUAGUCCACGCCCUAAACGAUGUCUACUAGUUGUUGGUGGAGUAAAAUCCAUUAGUAACGCAGCUAACGCGUGAAGUAGACCGCCUGGGGAGUACGGUCGCAAGAUUA
rnacentral:rRNA from 1 species